GAUGAACGCUAGCGGCAGGCUUAAUACAUGCAAGUCGUGGGGCAGCAGGGGUGUAGCAAUACAUCUGCUGGCGACCGGCAAACGGGUGCGUAACACGUACGCAACCUUCCCGUUACUGUGGCAUAGCCCAGGGAAACUUGGAUUAAUACCACAUAUUAUAUAGAGAGGGCAUCCUUUUUAUAUCAAAGCUUCGGCGGUAACGGAUGGGCGUGCGGUUGAUUAGGUAGUUGGCGGGGUAACGGCCCACCAAGCCUACGAUCAAUAGCUGAUGUGAGAGCAUGAUCAGCCACACGGGAACUGAGACACGGGCCCGACUCCUACGGGAGGCAGCAGUAAGGAAUAUUGGGCAAUGGACGAAAGUCUGACCCAGCCAUGCCGCGUGAAGGAUUAAGGUCCUCUGAAUUGUAAACUUCUUUUCUCUGGGGCGAAAACCAGCUAUUCUUAGCUAUUUGACAGUACCAGAGGAAUAAGCACCGGCUAACUCCGUGCCAGCCGCCGCCGUAAUAC
rnacentral:rRNA from 1 species